GUGACGACUCCACACACUUCCGCAAAGCGGUAAGUGUGGGCUUCUUAAGAAAUUAAGAGGUUCGUCAUUAGCCUCAGUAACCCGCCCGUGCGAGGGUUGCUACGUUUUUUAAGAAUGUAUAGGCACUUUGGGAUAUAGGGAGUAGCGCCCUGUCUUCUAGUCCCAAACACUGCGGCUUGUGGUUAAACAUCUCUACAGGUAGAGGAGAAGUGCUGCAAGUAAGAAACCUUGAAAAACAUUGGCGAAGAAGACCACGC
rfam:Scytonema hofmannii PCC 7110 genomic scaffold Scaffold1, whole genome shotgun sequence.